rnacentral:rRNA from 1 species
CACGUAGGGUGCGAGCGUUGUCCGGAAUUAUUGGGCGUAAAGAGCUCGUAGGCGGUGUGUCGCGUCGGCCGUGAAAACCUGUGGCUUAACUAUGGGCUUGCGGUCGAUACGGGCAUCACUGGAGUUCGGCAGGGGAGACUGGAAUUCCGUGGUGUAGCGGUGAAAUGCGCAGAUAUCAGGAGGAACACCGGUGGCGAAGGCGGGUCUCUGGGCCGAAACUGACGCUGAGGAGCGAAAGCGUGGGGAGCAAACAGG